GCGAAAGUAGCUCAGUUGGUAGAGCACGACCUUGCCAAGGUCGGGGUCGCGAGUU
rnacentral:tRNA from 1 species